GACGAACGCUGGCGGCGUGCUUAACACAUGCAAGUCGAACGGUAAGGCCCUUCGGGGUACACGAGUGGCGAACGGGUGAGUAACACGUGGGUGAUCUGCCCUGCGCUUCGGGAUAAGCCUGGGAAACUGGGUCUAAUACCGGAUAGGACCACUGCCUGCAUGGGUGGUGGUGGAAAGCUUUUGCGGUGUGGGAUGGGCCCGCGGCCUAUCAGCUUGUUGGUGGGGUGAUGGCCUACCAAGGCGACGACGGGUAGCCGGCCUGAGAGGGUGGCCGGCCACACUGGGACUGAGAUACGGCCCAGACUCCUACGGGAGGCAGCAGUGGGGAAUAUUGCACAAUGGGCGCAAGCCUGAUGCAGCGACGCCGCGUGAGGGAUGACGGCCUUCGGGUUGUAAACCUCUUUCAGCACCGACGAAGCGCAAGUGACGGUAGGUGCAGAAGAAGGACCGGCCAACUACGUGCCAGCCGCCGCGGUAACAC
rnacentral:rRNA from 1 species